rnacentral:rRNA from 1 species
UGGGGAAUAUUGCACAAUGGAGGGAACUCUGAUGCAGCGACGCCGCGUGAGUUAUGAAGGAAUUCGUUUCGUAAAACUCUGUUCUAUGGGAAGAAAAGGACUGUACCAUAGGAGAAAGCUCCGGCUAAAUACGUGCCAGCAGCCGCGGUAAUACGUAUGGAGCGAGCGUUGUCCGGAAUUAUUGGGCGUAAAGGUUGCGCAGGCGGCUUUACAAGUUGGAUGUGAAAUAUUGUGGCUCAACCACAAACGUGCAUCCAAAACUGCAAAGCUUGAGUUAAGGAGAGGUAAGUGGAAUUCCUGGUGUAGCGGUGGAAUGCGUAGAUAUCAGGAGGAAUACAGGUGGCGAAGGCGACUUACUGGACUUAAACUGACGCUCAGGCACGAAAGCGUGGGGAGCAAACAGG